AAUCAUACAAUGUGAUUGUCUAGAUUUUUGUUUUAGAUUCCGUCUCUCACAGUUGAAGUGUACCUAUGAUAAAAAGUACAGACCUCUACAUGCUUUGUUAUUAGGAAAACCUGCAAAAUCGGCAGUGUAUCAAAUACUUGUUCUCCCCACUGUAUAAUGCAUGUUAGAACCAGGUAUAAACGGGGCAAAUAGAGGUAAGAAGGGCUCAAGGAAAGGGUGUGAUGUGUGAGUAUGUGAGUGGGAAAGCAGGUGAGUGAGCGAGCAGGUGUUGCACGUAUGUGUUUGUACGAGUGUGUGAAACAGAAGAGGUGUGUGUGGGAAUGGUGGAGGGGGAGGUAAGGGUAGGCCAUGGUGAAGAGGUGGGUUUUUAGGCAGGACUGAAAGAUGAUGAUGGGGACUUCCAGAGCCUAGGAGCAACCCUGGAGAAGACCCUGUCACUGAAACUCUGGAGCUUGGACCUGGGGAUGACAAGGUGGCCAACUGUGGUUGAGCGGAGAGAGCAUGGGGGCUGGUAGGAGAGAAUAAGGUCAGAGAGGUAAGGGGUAGCAAGAUGGGGGGAGAGAUUUUUAGGUCAGGAGGAUCUUGUAAUUAAUGCGGUGGGAGACAGGGAGCCAGUGGAGUUCAAAGGAUGGGGGUGAUAUGCUGCCAGGGUGAUUUAGUGGGUUAGAAGACUGGCUGCCAGGGUGAUUUAGAAGACUGGCUGCCAGGGUGAUUUAGAAGACUGGCUGCCAGGGUGAUUUAGAAGACUGGCUGCCAGGGUGAUUUAGAAGACUGGCUGCCAGGGUGAUUUAGAAGACUGGCUGCCAGGGUGAUUUAGAAGACUGGCUGCCAGGGUGAUUUAGAAGACUGGCUGCCAGGGUGAUUUAGAAGACUGGCUACCAGGGUGAUUUAGAAGACUGGCUGCCAGGGUGAUUUAGAAGACUGGCUGCCAGGGUGAUUUAGAAGACUGGCUGCCAGGGUGAUUUAGAAGACGUGCUGCCAGGGUGAUUUAGAAGACUGGCUGCCAGGGUGAUUUAGAAGACUGGCUGCCAGGGUGAUUUAGAAGAAGGGCUGCCAGGGUGGGUUAGAAGACGGGCUGCCAGGGUGGGUUAGAAGACGGGCUGCCAGGGUGGGUUAGAAGACGGGCUGCCAGGGUGGGUUAGAAGACGGGCUGCCAGGGUGAUUUAGUGGGUUAGAAGACGGGCUGCCAGGGUGAUUUAGUGGGUUAGAAGACGGGCUGCCAGGGUGAUUUAGUGGGUUAGAAGACAAGCUGCCAGGGUGAUUUAGUGGGUUAGAAGACGGGCUGCCAGGGUGAUUUAGUGGGUUAGACGACGGGCUGCCAGGGUGAUUUAGUGGGUUAGAAGACGGGUUGCCAGGAUGAUUUAGUGGGUUAGAAGACGGGCUGCUGAGUUUCUAACCAUUUGGAGCUUAUCGAGGGAGUUUGUGUUAGUGCCGUGGGGGGAGUGAGUUGCAAUAGUCUGAGUAGAAGGGUGGUAGGUGUAGGUCUGAGUAGAAGGGUGGUAGGUGUAGGUCUGAGUAGAAGGGUGGUAGGUGUAGGUCUGAGUAGAAAGGUGGUAGGUGUAGGUCUGAGCAGAAGGGUCGUAGGUGUAGGUCUGAGUAGAAGGGUGGUAGGUGUAGGUCUGAGUAGAAAGGUGGUAGGUGUAGGUCUGAGCAGAAGGGUCGUAGGUGUAGGUCUGAGCAGAAGGGUGGUAGGUGUCGGUCUGAGCAGAAGGGUGGUAGGUGUAGGUCUGAGCAGAAGGGUGGUAGGUGUAGGUCUGAGUAGAAAGGUGGUAGGUGUAGGUCUGAGCAUUAAAAUGUACUUAAUUUGUAAGUGGAUUACAUCAUAAAAAAAUAAAGGUGGUGUACAACAUUUUAAAUGACGUGAAUGAUGCAUAACAAGAUGACCAUUGGAUAGAUACACAUUCACUGUGGAUGGGAGCAUUGCUGUCUGGUGGUCCCAAUUCAUCCAUUGUUUGGAAUUAUUUUCUCCAUAAGAUCUAAAACGGUCUAAUUUAGAAAGGCUUUGCAAAGACAAGUUGAACUAGCUCUAUUAGGCAGGGGUGUCAAAAUCAUUCCACAGAGAACACCUGGACAACCUAACCUAGGUGAGGGGAGUUCCUUAGUCAUUUGUAACCUUCAUUUAUCAAUUAAGGGUGGAGCAAAAACCGGCAGAAAAUCGGACCUCCCAUAGUAGGAGUUUGACCCGUGGAUUAAAGUAAUUAACCACUCAAACUAGUUUAAUCAGGUGUGUAGGUGUUGCCCAUGUAGAGGACUGCUAAUUCUUAUGUAGGUGACAUUACACUACUAUAGCUGGGACAACGUAUUUUCAUAGUAAAACAGGUUGGGCCCCAUACAGGAUAUCUCUCACACACACACUCACUUUGAUCAUCCAGAACACUGUCACAACAGGAUUACUCCUAGCCACAGGUGCUAGCCGGCAGUUCGGCCACAACUCCCCUGAAGAUAGGGACGCACACACAUUACACACGGACUCUUUAGGACAGGACAGGGACGCAUACGCUCUUACACACUGACCCCAGAAGACAGGGACGACGCACAUACAGUACACACAUAGCUGCCGAGGACACCCAGAUGAGACACCCACAGAUUGGCAGAAAGCCUAGAUUUAGAGACAAACUAGCACACACACAUAAUCUCCCUCCCAGCCGAACAUUGUGUGACUGAAGAUAGCGCACACACCAGAUCUCCUUUUCAGCUGAACAUGGUGUGACGACCAAGAACAGGCAUGGCAGGAUUCUACGAUGACGGACAGACAACAGAGCCAAUGCCGGAUGACUACACCCCAGCCUGAUCCAAUCCGAAGAUCCGAUCUCCUAGAAAUCAACCUACUUUCUGUUGUGUAUAUGAUGCUUGUACUCACUGUUAGCAAGGUUUAUUUCUGCUAGACUCUGAUGAGCUAACAGAGGGGCCCGUAUAUACGCUGUACCAGAUAUCUUCACUCUGAAUAAACCUGUCGCUUGUCGUACAAUCUAC